UUUCCGUAGGUGAACCUGCGGAAGGAUCAUUAAAGAGUAAGGGUCUCUUGCCCGAACCUCCAAACCUCCGUUGUUCUAACUACUUCGUUGCCGUGUCGUGACCGCAAAGGUUCUCCCGAGCGCGCCAGUCUCCGGACAGCCGAGCGCCCGCCAGAGUCUAACCAAACUCUUGUUUUAAACCAGUCAUCUUAGUAUAAAAUUUUAAUUAAAUUAAAACUUUCAACAACGGAUCUCUUGGUUCUC
rnacentral:misc_RNA from 1 species